rfam:Fukomys damarensis contig78415, whole genome shotgun sequence.
GGAUGUGAGGGCAAUCUAGUUGCAACAUCUUGUUAUCCUGUUGAUCACCAGGGGUGAUUUUGCUGACUUGGCUGGCAAGGUAGGUGUCGUUUUCCUUCUCCGUCCUUUCACAUGGAUGCCUCCCAAAGCAGAAGGCUUGCUAGAAGAGAGUAAUAUUCCCUGGAAGAGAAGGCCAAUUUUCAGUCAAAGGUCCCUUAUGGGGGCCUCCAAAUAAGCUCUCAAAGUCCAUUUUUUAGGAAAAGGAAAAGAGAAAAACUUGCAAUCUUGAUGAAAUCUAAUUUAUUCUUUUAUUGUUAAUGCUUUUUGUU